AGCGAACGCUGGCGGCAUGCCUAACACAUGCAAGUCGAACGAACCUUUCGGGGUUAGUGGCGGACGGGUGGGUAACACGUGGGAACGUGCCUUUAGGUGCGGAAUAACUCAGGGGAACUCGUGCUAAUACCGGAUGUGCCCUUCCGGGCAACGAGUGAUCGCCGUUAGAGCGGCUGGCGACUGAUUAGCUAGUUGGUUGUGGUAAUGGCUCACCAAGGCGAGUAUCGGUAGCUGGUCAGAGAGGAUGUUCAGACACAUUGGGACUGAGACGCGGCCGAGACUCUUACGCGAGGCGGGAGUGGGGAAUCCUGCGAAACGGGCGAAAGGCUGACGCAGCCAUGCCGGGUGAAUGAUGAAGGUGGUAGGGUUGAAAAAUUCUUUCACAGGAGACGAUAAUGACGGUACCCGGAGAAGAAGCCCCGGCUAACUUCGUG
rnacentral:rRNA from 1 species